CUCGACUAUACGCCAUCGGACCCGGACCUCCUGAAAAGAGUUUGGAAUGACAAACGAGCGAAGGAUGCGGCUUGAUAUAUAACACCGGAGGAUGUAAGAACAUGUCAAUAUGUCGGCUUUGGAACCUUCUCUACUACAAACGCGUGUGGGUCUCACUCUGUGGGCCGGCUGGACGACCUUUUGCUACUACUGCUUUAAAAUACUAGGAGAUAUCCGUUUUUACCAAGAGAGACUAGACUGAUGUCCGAGAGUUUUAGCACGAUCAAGACUUUGACGUGCUGGCGAUUGUUUGGAGGAGUUUGAAGAUGAUAUCACAGCUUGGAAGAAUAAGAUGAUAUCACGGUGUUCCGUUUGAUAACAGAUAUUUUAACAAUGGAAAGUCCAAUUCUUCUA